UGGGGAAUAUUGCACAAUGGGCGAAAGCCUGAUGCAGCAACGCCGCGUGAGUGAUGAAGGCCUUCGGGUUGUAAAGCUCUGUCUUUUGGGACGAUAAUGACGGUACCAAAGGAGGAAGCCACGGCUAACUACGUGCCAGCAGCCGCGGUAAUACGUAGGUGGCAAGCGUUGUCCGGAUUUACUGGGCGUAAAGGAUGCGUAGGCGGAUUUUUAAGUGAGAUGUGAAAUACCCGGGCUUAACUUGGGUGUUGCAUUUCAAACUGGGAAUCUAGAGUGCGGGAGAGGAGAAUGGAAUUCCUAGUGUAGCGGUGAAAUGCGUAGAGAUUAGGAAGAACACCAGUGGCGAAGGCGAUUCUCUGGACCGUAACUGACGCUGAGGCAUGAAAGCGUGGGUAGCAAACAGGAUUAGAUACCCUGGUAGUCCACGCCGUAAACGAUGAGUACUAGGUGUAGGAGGUAUCGACCCCUUCUGUGCCGCAGUUAACACAAUAAGUACUCCGCCUGGAAGUACGAUCGCAAGAUUAAACUUAAAUGAAUUGACGGGGUCAUAGCUG
rnacentral:rRNA from 1 species